rnacentral:rRNA from 1 species
UCCGAUGGUGAACCUGCGGAAGGAUCAUUACCGAGUGAGGGCCCUCUGGGUCCAACCUCCCACCCGUGUUUAUCGUACCUUGUUGCUUCGGCGGGCCCGCCUCACGGCCGCCGGGGGGCAUCUGCCCCCGGGCCCGCGCCCGCCGAAGACACCAUUGAACGCUGUCUGAAGAUUGCAGUCUGAGCAUCUUAGCUAAAUCAGUUAAAACUUUCAACAACGGAUCUCUUGGUUCCGGCAUCGAUGAAGAACGCAGCGAAAUGCGAUAAGUAAUGUGAAUUGCAGAAUUCAGUGAAUCAUCGAGUCUUUGAACGCACAUUGCGCCCUCUGGUAUUCCGGAGGGCAUGCCUGUCCGAGCGUCAUUGCUGCCCUCAAGCACGGCUUGUGUGUUGGGUCCCCGCCCCCUGCUUCCAGGGGGCGGACCCGAAAGGCAGCGGCGGCACCGCGUCCGGUCCUCGAGCGUAUGGGGCUUCGUCACCCGCUCUUGUAGGCCCGGCCGGCGCCCGCCGGCGACCCCCCAUCAAUCUUUUCAGGUUGACCUCGGAUCAGGUAGGGAUACCCGCUGAACUUAAGCAUAUCAAUAAGCGGAGGAGUCAUA